AAUCCGUGUUGUUUGCAUGGACGAAGUAAACCCUUGUAUCGUUCCCAAUCCUCUUAAUAGCAUUCUGAGUCCAUUUGCUGAAAAGUAGUGAUCUCAUCCCUUAGUUU
rnacentral:snoRNA from 1 species